GGGCGCGUGGUUCAGUGGUAGAACGUUCCUCUGAUAAGGGAAAGGUCGAUGGUUCGAUUCCAUCCGCGCCCAC
rnacentral:tRNA from 1 species